rnacentral:tRNA from 1 species
GCGUUGUUAGUUUAUCGGUAGAAUUCUGGCUUCCCAAGCCAGAGAGGCGGGUUCAAUUCCCGCACGGCGCA